GACACUAGCGUUUAAGAGCCUUCUAAAC
rnacentral:sRNA from 1 species